UAGGGAAUAUUGCAAAAUGGGCGAAAGCCCGAUGCAGCAACGCCGCGUGGGCGAUGAAGGCCUUCGGGUCGUAAAGCCCUUUUUGAGGGGAUGAGGAAGGACAGUACCCUCAGAAUAAGCCUCGGCUAACUACGUGCCAGCAGCCGCGGUAAAACGUAGGAGGCGAGCGUUAUCCGGAUUUACUUGGCGUAAAGCGCGUGCAGGCGGAUUGGAGAGUUGGAUGUGAAAGCUCCCGGCUUAACUGGGAGAGGUCGUUCAAUACUUCCAGUCUUGAGUGCAGUAGAGGGAAGUGGAAUUCCGGGUGUAGUGGUGAAAUUCGUAGAUAUCCGGAGGAACACCAGUGGCGAAAGCGGCUUCCUGGAAUGUAACUGACGCUCAGACGCGAAAGCUAGG
rnacentral:rRNA from 1 species